rnacentral:piRNA from 1 species
CACCACUGAGAUGCUGUGAGACCUUGAGC